AUGUUGCCCAAGCUGGUCCUGAACCGCUAGCCUCAAAUAAUCCUCCUGCCUGAACCUACCAAAGCAUUGGUAUUACAAGUUUGACCCACCGUGAUCUGUCCAGAGUGGGAAAUAGAAUCUUAACAACUAUCACAUGAACUUUGAGGGUAUCCUUCUCCAGAUGAGCCUUCAGUUGAGACCUCAGCCUUGGACAUCAUCUGCACCUGGAUUCCUGACCCAGAGCAACUGCAGGCAUGCAUAUGUUAUCCCAGCUUCUGGGGAGCCAUGAUUGUGUCACUGCACUCCAGCUUGGGAAACAGAGGGAGACCAAGACUCAAAAAAAAAAACUGGCCUCAGAAGGAAUUUUAUGGAACCUUGUAUUCUGUUGAAUACCAGAAUUAUAUCAGCAAUCCCAAAGUCACCAAAUGG
rnacentral:lncRNA from 10 species